CAAGGAGAGUAAUAAAAAAGUUCUCAGGGUUGCAGAGAGCACAUAAAAGUGGGCUGCAGUAUUGAUUCCACCAUCCAGACCAGGAUCAAGAUCAAGGACAGACAUGGGUACUCAGAACUCCUCCAGCACUCCUCCUGCUGGCUGUUAUUGUCCUGGAUACAUUUGGUCUCCUAACUGAUGUCCACACAAGGAACAUCACAUCUUAUGGGUAACAAGAGACCAUGGUGUCAUCAUGAGCAUGGACAUCCUCCAGAAUUUUCAUUGAAGGGGCACUACUUUUAUGAAAAUAUAGAACUAGAAUGAA